GUCUCUCUCUCUGUGUGUCUCUGUCUCUGUCCGCCCCCCCCCCCUUCUGCUUCCUGGCUACCACAGGAUGAGCAUUUGUCUUCUACAAUGCUGUUUAUGCUUUGCAGCCGGAAUACUAUGGACUGGAUCCACUAAAACUCGAUCUAAAGGGACUGAGACAUUGUCUGGACUGGGGUUUCCUGUCUAGAAGAUGGGUCUGUUGUGGAUUCCAUGAGGUCAUAUGGAUCUUCUGCAUUUGGUUCUAGCUAAGUAAGUGUGAUCAUAGGUAAAUUCAGGUCUGUGUGUGUAGAUCUAUGUCUGUGUGUACAGCUACCUAUAAAGUUUUAUUAGCAAGCUAGAACAACAGCAACAUGGCACCAUGAGCCUCUCCCUGGGGCUGGGGCACCUGAUUUGCCUGCCUCACUGCAAGGCUGUGCCCACAUGACGCCUGGGGCAGAAGAUGUGCUCCCAGCAGCACUUGCAUCCUGAUGGUUCUGACCCUCACCUGAAACAGCAAGAAAUCCAGCUUCAGGCGCAGAUGGAUUGCGGUUGUAAGAGUCUUGAACGCCACAGGGAUCAUUACCUAAGAGAUGUUGCUGUGAGGGUAAACAUGAGACCAAGACACUGCCCUGUGCUGAGUGUCGGGGGAAGGGCUUCCCAGAGGAGGCGACACAGAGCUUGUCGCAGGAGAGAGAGAGUGGGCACGGCCAUCAUUGGACUUCUGGCAACUGAGCUCAAGACUGAUGCACGCUGUGUCUUAGGGUGCUCUCCUGGGCUGAGCAGGGCCUGGAGCAGGCAGAUGUGCUCACAGCUGCCCGGUGCCAGGAUACCACAGCCACUGUCCUGCUCAGUCCAGCCCUGGGCUUUGGUGUCCAGGCGGGAGAAACUUGGCUCUGUUGAGCUUUUCAAAAUAAAGUGGUUUUUAUUUCAUAUUCACGAGAGAGGUUGCAAAAGAGACUCAGGGUCGCUGCUUUUCAUAUUAUUUAUGCAUUUGCCCCCCCAUCUCUCUUCCCAAAAGCAAGUCACAAAAGGGCCUUUGUUCUCCACAAGUUCAAAGCCAGCUCCUCCAAGGGGAGACUUCUGGGCGAUCACACGGGAGGCUGCUGUUCCAACGGCUGGCUGUCAGAGCAGAAAUACGGUCCGAGUCAGGGUUCCGGCAGUUUGCACGCUGCAGGAGCCGCCUGAAUGGUUUCCAGUGUGACCUGGGCUGAGGGGCCAGGCUGGGGCAGGGGGAGCAGCCUGAAUCCGCCUUGGCACACCUCGCCUCCAUGGCUUCGGUUUCCUCAUCAGCAGAACCGAGCGUGUGUACGCUGGACUCCAUCAGAGGGUUCCAUGGGGCGCCUGGGGUCGUCUUAGAAACAGGUGGGCUCGGGGGUACCCUGCCCUCUUCUGCCCUUCUGAAGGCUUGAGGGGUUGAGUGUGCAGG
ensembl:lncRNA